GGGCCAUUAGCUCAGUUCGGUAGAGCAGCUGACUCUUAAUCAGUUGGUCCAAGGUUCGAAUCCUUGAUGGCCCA
rnacentral:tRNA from 1 species